GGGAGCUUCGGCUAUCCGCAAGUUGGAGGAGCCUGCGGCGCAUUAGCUUGUUGGUGGGUAACGGCCUACCAAGGCAUCGAUGCGUAGCUGGUCUGAGAGGACGAUCAGCCACACUGGAACUGAGACACGGUCCAGACUCCUACGGGAGGCAGCAGUGGGGAAUCUUGCACAAUGGGCGACAGCCUGAUGCAGCAAUGCCGCGUGAGGGAAGACGGCCUUCGGGUUGUAAACCUCUUUCAGUUGGGAUGAAGGUUGGACGGUUAACAGCCGCGCCAACUGACCGUACCUUCAGAAGAAGCUCCGGCUAACUACGUG
rnacentral:rRNA from 1 species